rnacentral:rRNA from 1 species
UACGUGGGGUGCGAGCGUUGUUCGGAAUUACUGGGCGUAAAGCGUGUGAAGGCGGUCUGCUAAGUCUGGUGUGAAAGCCCUGAGCUUAACUCAGGAACUGCGCCGGAAACUAGUAGACUAGAGUUCGGGAGAGGGUCGUGGAAUUCCUGGUGUAGAGGUGAAAUUCGUAGAUAUUCGGAGGAACACCAGUGGCGAAGGCGGCUCACUGGCUCGGUACUGACGCUGAGGUGCGAAAGCGUGGGGAGCAAACAGG